UACGGAGGGUGCAAGCGUUAAUCGGAAUUACUGGGCGUAAAGCGCACGCAGGCGGUUUGUUAAGUCAGCUGUGAAAUCCCCGGGCUCAACCGGGGAACUGCAUUUGAAACUGGCAAGCUAGAGUCUCGUAGAGGCGGGUAGAAUUCCAGGUGUAGCGGUGAAAUGCGUAGAGAUCUGGAGGAAUACCGGUGGCGAAGGCAGCCCCCUGGACGAAGACUGACGCUCAGGUGCGAAAGCGUGGGGAGCGAACAGG
rnacentral:rRNA from 1 species